UCCUGCAUAGCUAAGUCAGUAAAGCAUCUGCCUGCAGUGUGGGAGAUCUGGGUUCAAUUCCUAGGUCAGGAA
rnacentral:tRNA from 1 species